rnacentral:rRNA from 1 species
UACGGAGGGGGCUAGCGUUGUUCGGAAUUACUGGGCGUAAAGCGCGCGUAGGCGGAUUGGAAAGUUAGAGGUGAAAUCCCGGGGCUCAACCCCGGAACGGCCUUUAAAACUAUCAAUCUAGAGUUCGAGAGAGGUGAGUGGAAUUCCGAGUGUAGAGGUGAAAUUCGUAGAUAUUCGGAGGAACACCAGUGGCGAAGGCGGCUCACUGGCUCGAUACUGACGCUGAGGUGCGAAAGCAUGGGGAGCAAAC